GGCCGGGACGCGCCUCCCCCUAGGCGUCGCCACCAGGCCACGCCCGGAGCAGCCACCUGGUCGUCGGGCUCCGCGCUGCCCCCGAGGCUGGACCGCCGCGGACGCCCCUGUCCCUGCUGCUCCCUUCGGCCGGUCGGCUGCUCCCUUUGGCCGACCGGCUGCUCCCUUUGGCCGGACCGCCACGGACGCCCCUGCCUCAGCUGCUCCCUUCGGCCGGUCGGCUGCUCCCUUUGGCCGCCCGACUGCUCCCAGGGCUGCGCCGCCGCCGCCUGGGCGCACAACCACGUCUGCCACACACUCUACCGCCGGUCUUCUCCCAGCAGCAGCGCCGCUCGGCCUCAAGCGCCUGUCGUGCGAGCUCCUGCGAGGUCCCUGCUCUCCCCGCCAGCGCACUGCCCCUGCUUGGCCUCCCUCCAUCCCGCGACCCUUCCUCGUGCCGCCCCGCGGCCAUCGCGGCUGCUACCAUCGCCUCGUC
rnacentral:misc_RNA from 1 species